GCUCGGAUGAACUCCGGUGGUCCGGGGUACAGGCUUCAAUUUUAACAGCUGGAGAUACCUGUGGACGACUGACGUCGUAGCGGUUCGAUUCCGCCUUCCGAGC
rnacentral:tRNA from 1 species